rnacentral:lncRNA from 1 species
GCCUCCUGAGUGCUGGGUCUGAAGGUGUGGGCCACUAUUUAGACUUGGCUAAAAAAAAAAAAAAAAAAAAAAAAAAAAAAAAAAAAAUCUCAAUAGACUUGUUAUUGGUAAAGAGAUUGAAUCAAUAAUCAAAAACCUAACAACAAAAGGUCUAGAAAUCCACAUUGUAUCUAUCCCUGAAAUCUUUAAACAUUAAAAGGACAAUUAACAUCAGUCCUUCUAAAACUGUUGUGAAAAUUAGAGAAGAGAAAGCCUGAGAGAUGGCUUAGCCUGACACCAAACCUGAUGGCCUGAGUUCACUCCCUGGGAGUCACACAGCGGAAGAAGAGAGCUAAUUCCUACAAGAUGUCCUCAGAUCUUCAUGUAAGCACCGUGACACAUUUUAGUAUGUGUGCAUGUGUGCACACACAGACCCCUUUAACAAUUAAAGCUGGGAUCACCAUGUAUAUAUAAUUCCAGCACUCUAGAGGCAGAAGCCAGCCUAGUCUACAUAGCAGGUUCCAGGCUAGCCAGGGCUACAGAAAGAGCUUGUCUACAAGGAAAACUAAGAAGACAGAAUACUUUCAAACACAAUGAGGCUAGAUUACACUUAUAUCAAAACUAGGCAAAGAUAGCAUAGAGCCAUAGACCAAUAUCCUUGAUACAAAAAUCCUAACUAAAAGAGGGAGCAGAACAAAUGUCAGGGCAAGAGCAAGGAAGUGGAGUGCUGUUGUAUUCUGACUUCUGGGCAUUCCACGGCCAUUCCACUUUUGAGUCUCAGCAUCUGUAAUUACUUCUAUCCACAAUUCUGUAAAUAACCCCUCUGUCAUGCUCUUGUAGCCAGCUAAUGAAACUCAUUGGGUGACACACACAAUCCCAAAUAUUCUAACAAGCCAAAUUCAACCUUACACUAAAGAAUUAUUCGCCCCAAUGAAUACCUAAAAUUCAGCAUACAAAAUCAAAGAAUAAAGAGACUGUACAUUAUUUUUUUUAAAAAAAGCCAUUAAAUCAACACAGACAGGAACAAAGUUUUAUACCUUCAUGUCAUUAAAACAACAAUAACACACAAAUAAAUGUUGCUGGGUUCAGCAGCUAAGAUCAUCUGCUGUGCAAACAUGACAACCACGUUAGAGUCCCCAGCAUCUGUGUAAGAGAAGCACCAGGCAUGGCCAGUCUUGUAUAACCCCAGUACUGGGUAUGGAGAUGGGAGCUUACUGGCCAGCCAUGCUAGCCAAAACUGAGCUCCAGGUUCAGUGAGCUCCUGUCUCAGGAGAGUAAGUCUGAGAACAAUAGAGGGGGUGCCUGGUACCCUCUUACCUACACACACAUGUCCCUUCUCAACAAGGAAGAAAACUAUAUGAAAAUCCCACAGGUAAUACUGUGUUCAAUGAUGGAAGGCUGAGGGCUUUUUAUCUAAGAUUAGAGAAAAGGACACUCAUUUUUGUCACUGAUAAAUAAUACUGAAAUUUAAACCACAACAACAACAAAAAAAAAGACAUCCACAUUGGAACAGGGGAGGAUAUAUCUGUUUACUCUAACGUUAGCACAAGCAACAAAAUGAAAAAAUAGGACCAGGGAGUCACAUUCAUUGUAUAGACCAGACCAUGUAAGAGAACUACCAGCAAAGGGAAAAGACAACCUCAGAGGUCAAUAUUCAGAAUAUAUAAAGAAUAUCUACCACUGAACAAAAUGACUUGGAUAGACAUUUCUCCGAAGGCUGUAUAAAUGUCCAGUAAGCACAGGAAAGAUGUCAGCACCAGUAAUUAUCAAGGAAAUGCAAUAAAUCUACAGUGAGUUAACUGUCCUGAUAACCUGUCAGAAGAACAGAAAAUAAU